UCGGCCAUAUCAUAUUGAAAUACCGAUGCUCCUAGAAUCACCGAAGUUAAGCAACGUCGAGCCUUGUCAGUGCUUAGAUUGGUGACCGUUUGGGAAUAUCAGGUGCCGUG